rnacentral:pre_miRNA from 1 species
AAAAACUUAAUUCUUGAGUUUCAAUGUACAAUAUUUGACCGUCUGUUUUAUAUGAAAUUUUUUUAUGAUUAGUAUUUUUAUUAUUGUUAGAUGGUAAAACAUUAAUAUAUAAUACUUUAUGUAUAGCUUAUCUUUUUUUUUUCAAAUAAUACGGACGGUCAAACGCUAGACACGAAAACCCAAG